UACGAAUGGGGCAAGCGUUGUUCGGAAUCACUGGGCGUAAAGCGUGUGUAGGCGGUCUAUCAAGUCAGGAGUGAAAUCCCCGGGCUCAACCUGGGAAUUGCAUUCGAUACUGGAUAGCUAGAGUUCGGCAGAGGGAAGCGGAAUUUCGGGUGUAGCGGUGAAAUGCGUAGAUAUCCGAAGGAACAUCAGUGGCGAAAGCGGCUUCCUGGACCAGAACUGACGAUCAGGCUCGAAAGCGUGGGGAGCAAACAGG
rnacentral:rRNA from 1 species